CUACGGGGGGCUGCAGUGGGGAAUAUUGGACAAUGGGGGAAACCCUGAUCCAGCAAUGCCGCGUGUGUGAAGAAGGCCUGCGGGUUGUAAAGCACUUUCGGUUGGGAGGACUGCUUCUAGCACUAAUAUUGUUGGAAGUUGACGUUACCUUCAGAAGAAGCACCGGCUAACUCCGUGCCAGCAGCCGCGGUGAAUACGGAGGGUGCAAGCGUUAAUCGGAAUUACUGGGCGUAAAGCGCGCGUAGGCGGCUAGAUCAGUCGGGUGUGAAAGCCCCGGGCUUAACCUGGGAACUGCAUCCGAUACUGGCUAGCUUGAGUACAGGAGAGGAGAGUGGAAUUCCACAUGUAGCGGUGACAUGCGUAGAUAUGUGGAGGAACACCAAUGGCGAAGGCAGCUCUCUGGCCUGAUACUGACGCUGAGGUGCGAAAGCGUGGGGAGCAAACAGGAUUAGAUACCCCCGUAGUC
rnacentral:rRNA from 1 species